GUAGCCCGGGCGAACAACGUGGAAAUUGUUCAAAAAACGUUUUGUUUAGAUAGAAACGUUAUUGUGAAUUGUAUUGUGGCUACGAUUUUCGAAAUUCAGCAACUUUUAUCGCUAUAUUGUAGUUCCCAGUAUUUUUAAAAAAGUGAUAAGAAAAAGGAAAGAAACAGAUAUUUAAACUUUUUGGAUUAGUAAAAUUAAUAGGUAACAAGAAAAUGGCGCCCUUUACAAACGUAUGAUUCAAUCUCGUUCCCAGUCCCAAUGUAAAAACAAAAAGGGAACCUGAGAACAAGAUCGUGCAUGAUUAAAAAUAAGUUAAAGAAAGGAUUUUACUGUGGUAGGAAGAGCCUGUUUGAAUAAUUCCUCCGGUAGGUUAUUUAAAAAUGGCAUGACAUCGUGGGAGCAAUACAUAUCGUAUUAUUCGGAUUUGUUCGCAAGCUAGAGAUGCAAGAUACCCUCGGAUUUAAUAGGUCAGCCACGAGUAUACCUGCUUAGAAUAAAGCAGUAAAAGAAUCAAAUCUCGAAGAACAAACCCACAAGAAGCCGUUCAUUCCCUUUCUAAAUUAGACACGUAUUUUGAACGUUAGUAUAGUCCAAUUCCCCGAUUUUUCGGACCUUCUCAACCUUGGUUCCUAGGCAUACACAGAAAUUUUCAAUAAUUUGGAUAAAUGUAUUGAGCCACAGUUUAGUACAAAAUCAAUCCUAUCGACGUGAAUGGACGAAAAAAUAUGUAAGAUUUGAUCUUAAAGUAUGUCACGAGAGUGUUUUAAAAAUAGAAAAACAUUCACUACAAGCUCCUACUAAGUCUUUUUUUUCCUGAUUCACUCUUUUGUCUGUGAUUGCUGAUGUUGACAAAAAGUAUAUUUGAUUGACGUCUGUAAGAGAAACAAACAAAUAACUUUCAGAUCCCUGAAACUACUUCAUAAUACAAUGCACAUUUAAGAAAAAAUAAAACGAGUUUGAAAGUUGAGAGCUGUUUAGAAAAACGGAGAAUUAGAAGCAAUAAUAAUCCUAGUUAAAAUUCAGGCAUUCUUAUUACAGAAGCAUUUGGCUUUCUGUCUAUGAUUGGCUUGAUAGUCGAAGCUGUUCUACACUUUAAAGAAUACAAGUCAAGUCGAUAACAACAUCUCAAAUUUCCAUAUUUCAUGUGGUGUCAGCAUAAUGAAUUGUAUAGAAGUCUAGCAGAUUUUUUGUAAAAAUUAAAACUUUCACGAAAACCUUUUGUAACAUUUUUAUAAAUAUAUUUGCAGUCGCUUUGCUG